CAGCCUUCCUGAAAGACCAAGCCCGCGCCAUCCGGCUUCCUCCAGUGGACGCCUGCAGGACCCAGGUGAGACACGGAACCGGUUGGGGACGCGAGCCAGGGAUCCUGACCGGUUGGGGGCGGCGAGCAAGGGAUCCUGACUUGGGGGCGUUGCCUCCCGGAAUCCAAGCGGCCUUUUGCCCGGGUCUCCCGAGAUGCAUCGAAAUUGAGCUCGUCCACACAGCCCCCUGACUGCGUGAUGCCCUUUUCUGACUUAAAACAUUCCUUGUACCUUUAUUUACACGAUCCAAGUUGCAGUGUGCCUAGAUUUUCCUCCAAGGACAAAAAUGUGAAUAAAGCAAUAUUUUAGCCAAACAUUUCUGUGUCAAUUAAGAAGAUUGCAAUUCGUUCCAGACUAUAAAUUCUCUUUAACAACUCCCUAAGGUAUUCUUUUAAAUUGUUUUUCAGCGUUGCUAAAUGUGCAUCAUAAUGUGUGGGAGACUUGUAUAAAGUGAAUCAAUUUAUACUCAGCUGAUUAAUUGACCCGAUGUUACCACCUCCAAGGAGGCACCUUUCCACUAUUUUCUCAUUUUUUCCCCAACACAUGUUAUUUGUUAGUGAGGAAGCUGCGUGCACGUGGCAUUGUAUAAAGUUUAUUAGACAGACGUGGCCCUUAAACUAGGAAGAGCUUAGUCUAACUCUAAAUCUAAAAUUCGACAUUUCGGUAAGUUGUGAGACAAGAUACCCAGGUUGUUUGAUAAACCAGAAUUGAACAUAAUUUUUUAAAAAUUUAAAUCACAGGAAUGUUUUUCUUGAAGGCAUCCAGCAUCUCCAGUUAGCAGUACUGAUUUUUUUUCCCCCCAACAAAGGAACACUACAUCAACACUGUUGGCGGGGACCUGGACACAGAAGACUCCUGUUUCAAGAAAAUACAAUCAUCUCUCAAAGGCUGUAAUUUAUAUGCAUUUUAAAACUCUAGGCAUUGAAAACCACCCAAGUGUCCCAAAUAGAAGGGUAAUAUAUAAUCAAUCACUCAGUGUAAUAUUAUACAUCCUUUAAAAAUGUUAUUGGGAAAUGUUUUAUGAUCUGUAAGUCCAAGGAAUCCUCUCCCACCAUUUCUUUCCCCCCGCUGUUCCCCCAUACCCACACUUCUUUGUUCCAAUUGGCAUGUAAAUUUGGUUUUCCCGCCAAAUGAGUCAGUCAUGAUGGGAACCUCAACUGAUUUGAACAGAUGUGUGUCAAUGUUACUUGGAAAACUAGAUGUCAAUAACCAGGGUCACAGAAAAAGGCAGUGGUCACAACUCUGUAAAAAUGUAUGCAUGCACACAGACAAGAACUAAAGUGGAACCCCACACAGGAAAACAGUGGGCUGUACUCCAGUGCUGGGACAUUGAAUGACUGUAUGCUGCUUUUGAUUUCCGUUAAUAUGGGCAACUGUCCAAUUAAAAAAAAAACUCCUAAGGACUCUGCAGUGCAAA
rnacentral:lncRNA from 1 species